rnacentral:rRNA from 1 species
CACGUAGUUAGCCGGUGCUUAUUCUGCAGGUACCGUCAGUUGCGCAUGGUAUUAGCACGCGCCGUUUCUUUCCUGCCAAAAGUGCUUUACAACCCGAAGGCCUUCAUCGCACACGCGGGAUGGCUGGAUCAGGGUUUCCCCCAUUGUCCAAAAUUCCCCACUGCUGCCUCCCGUAGGAGUCUGGGCCGUGUCUCAGUCCCAGUGUGGCUGGUCGUCCUCUCAAACCAGCUACGGAUCGCGGCCUUGGUGAGCCAUUACCUCACCAACUAGCUAAUCCGAUAUCGGCCGCUCCAAUAGUGCAAGGUCUUGCGAUCCCCUGCUUUCCCCCUAAGGGCGUAUGCGGUAUUAGCUACGCUUUCGCGUAGUUAUCCCCCGCUACUGGGCACGUUCCGAUACAUUACUCACCCGUUCGCCACUCGCCACCAGACCGAAGUCCGUGCUGCCGUUCGACUUGCAUGUGUAAGGCAUCCCGCUAGCGUUCAAUCUGAGCCAGGAUCAAACU